AAUACACAAUGGUGGUGGUAGGUAAAGU
rnacentral:guide_RNA from 1 species